GGGGCCGUAGCCCAAUAGGCAGAGGCACACGGUUUAGGUCCGUGCCAGUGUGGGUUCGAGUCCCACCGGCCCCACAA
rnacentral:tRNA from 1 species